rnacentral:rRNA from 1 species
ACGAACGCUGGCGGCAUGCCUAACACAUGCAAGUCGAACGAGACCUUCGGGUCUAGUGGCGCACGGGUGCGUAACGCGUGGGAAUCUGCCCUUUGCUUCGGAAUAACAGUUAGAAAUGACUACUAAUACCGGAUGAUGUCUUCGGACCAAAGAUUUAUCGGCAAAGGAUGAGCCCGCGUAGGAUUAGGUAGUUGGUGGGGUAAAGGCCUACCAAGCCGACGAUCCUUAGCUGGUCUGAGAGGAUGAUCA